rnacentral:rRNA from 1 species
UACGGGGGGAGCAAGCGUUGUUCGGAUUUACUGGGCGUAAAGGGCGCGUAGGCGGCAAUUCAAGUCAUCUGUGAAAUCUUCGGGCUUAACUCGGAACGGUCAGAUGAUACUGUUUUGCUAGAGUGCAGAAGGGGCAAUCGGAAUUCUUGGUGUAGCGGUGAAAUGCGUAGAUAUCAAGAGGAACACCUGAGGUGAAGACGGGUUGCUGGGCUGACACUGACGCUGAUGCGCGAAAGCCAGGGGAGCGAACGGG